GGUACUUUAGCUCAGUGGUUAAGAGCACACUCUAAACAGGAGUAACAAAGAGGUCCCGGGUUCGAAUCCUGGAAGUGCCA